GAUGAACGCUGGCGGCGUGCCUAACACAUGCAAGUCGAGCGGCAGCGAGGGGUGCUUGCACCCUGUCGGCGAGCGGCGGACGGCUGAGUAACGCGUGGGAACGUGCCCCAAAGUGAGGAAUAACUGCCCGAAAGGGUAGCUAAUACCGCAUAUUAUCUUCGGAUCAAAGGAUUUAUCCGCUUUGGGAGCGGCUCGCGUCGGAUUAGGUAGUUGGUGAGGUAAUGGCUCACCAAGCCGACGAUCCGUAGCUGGUCUGAGAGGAUGACCAGCCAGACUGGAACUGAGACACGGUCCAGACUCCUACGGGAGGCAGCAGUGAGGAAUCUUCCACAAUGGGCGAAAGCCUGAUGGAGCAACGCCGCGUGCAGGACGAAGGCCUUCGGGUUGUAAACUGCUUUUAUAUGUGAGGAAUAUGACGGUAACUUAUGAAUAAGGAUCGGCUAACUACGUG
rnacentral:rRNA from 1 species